rnacentral:rRNA from 1 species
CCCUUAGAUGUUCUGGGCCGCACGCGCGCUACACUGAUGCAUUCAACAAGCCUAGCCUUGACCGAGAGGUCCGGGUAAUCUUUGAAACUGCAUCGUGAUGGGGCUAGAUUAUUGCAAUUAUUAAUCUUCAACGAGGAAUGCCUAGUAAGCGUGAUUCAUCAAAUCGCGUUGAUUACGUCCCUGCCCUUUGUACACACCGCCCGUCGCUCCUACCGAUUGAAUGCUCAGGUGAGCCAUUCGGACCUUCAUCAUGCCGGUUUCCGGUUUUGAUGAGGGAAAGUCUUGCGAACCUUAUCAUUUAGAGGAAGGAGAAGUCGUAACA